rnacentral:rRNA from 1 species
UACAGAGGGUGCAAGCGUUAAUCGGAAUUACUGGGCGUAAAGCGUGCGUAGUCGGUUAUUUAAGUCGGAUGUGAAAUCCCCGGGCUCAACCUGGGAAUUGCAUUCGAUACUGGAUAGCUAGAGUUCGGCAGAGGGAAGGCGGAAUUUCUGGUGUAGCGGUGAAAUGCGUAGAUAUCAGAAGGAACAUCAGUGGCGAAAGCGGCUCCUGGACCAGAACUCGACGAGUCAGGCACG